CUUUAGACUGCAGUCAUACUGGCAUACUGCAUUGAGCUCAUAUAUGUUAGUUAUAUACAAUCCAAUUUAUUUAUCAUUCACUCUACCCUGAAUUGUGGUACAAUAUGGACAUAUUUUUGAAUACCAAGGAACAUUUGUGCAGAUAUAACAAUUUAAAGGAUAAGCAUAUUACAAUGGAUUCUAAUAAGUGGACUUUUCCUUUUUCUCUCUCUUUUUCUUUUUUCUUUGUGCUUUUUUCUUUGUGAUUUUUUCUUUGUGAUGUAAUCUUGGGACUGAAAAUGUUUGCGGCUGAAGAUAGCUUUAAACCAUCCUUUCUAUCAAUUAUAUACUCAUAAAAUGAUGCAACAACAGUUUGUGUAUAAAGCUUGAAACAUGUGUACCACGGAA